UAACUCGAUUGUGUAUUCGGUCUAUUCGAUGGACAAACAGUGAAGCUCACUGUAGGUUCGUCGAAUAGCCCGAACGCACAAUUGGUUUA
rnacentral:pre_miRNA from 1 species